UCUUCUGGACUUCACCGGUCGUUAGAUGC
rnacentral:sRNA from 1 species